rnacentral:rRNA from 1 species
CAGCCGCCGCGGUAAUACAGAGGGUGCAAGCGUUAAUCGGAAUUACUGGGCGUAAAGCGCGCGUAGGUGGUUUGUUAAGUUGGAUGUGAAAUCCCCGGGCUCAACCUGGGAACUGCAUCCAAAACUGGCAAGCUAGAGUAUGGUAGAGGGUGGUGGAAUUUCCUGUGUAUCGGUGAAAUGCGUAGAUAUAGGAAGGAACACCAGUGGCGAAGGCGACCACCUGGACUGAUACUGACACUGAGGUGCGAAAGCGUGGGGAGCAAACAGGAUUAGAUACCCUGUAGUCCCUGUCUCUUAUACA